UGGAUCUGCAGGCUGCAAGGG
rnacentral:piRNA from 1 species